rnacentral:rRNA from 1 species
UACGUAGGGUGCGAGCGUUAAUCGGAAUUACUGGGCGUAAAGUGUGCGCAGGCGGCCGAGCAAGUCGAGUGUGAAAUCCCCGGGCUUAACCUGGGAACUGCGUUCGAAACUACAAGGCUAGAGUGUGGCAGAGGGGGGUGGAAUUCCACGUGUAGCAGUGAAAUGCGUAGAGAUGUGGAGGAACACCGGUGGCGAAGGCAGCCCCCUGGGUUAACACUGACGCUCAGGCACGAAAGCGUGGGGAGCAAACAGG